rnacentral:rRNA from 1 species
GACGAACGCUGGCGGCGUGCUUAACACAUGCAAGUCGAACGGAAAGGCCCUGCUUUUGUGGGGUGCUCGAUUGGCGAACGGGUGAGUAACACGUGAGUAACCUGCCCUUGACUUUGGGAUAACUUCAGGAAACUGGGGCUAAUACCGGAUAGGAUCUCCUGCUGCAUGGUGGGGGUUGGAAAGUUUCGGCGGUUGGGGAUGGACUCGCGGCUUAUCAGCUUGUUUGUGGGGUAGUGGCUUACCAAGGGUUUGACGGGUAGCCGGCCUGAGAGGGUGACCGGCCACAUUGGGACUGAGAUACGGCCCAGAAUCCUACGGGAGGCAGCAGUGGGGAAUAUUGCACAAUGGGCGGAAGCCUGAUGCAGCAACGCCGCGUGCGGGAUGACGGCCUUCGGGUUGUAAACCGAUUUCGACUGUGACGAAGCGUGAGUGACGGUAAUGGGUAAAGAAGCACCGGCUAACUACGUG